AUCAUAAAUCAGUGGCAAAUGUGCAGAUUUGGACUGUCCAAAGUUUUACCUUGAGAAUAUUUUCCUGAAGCAUUCCAAAACACUGAAAUCCUGGGAUGGCAAGAAAAAAAAAUCAAGUAAAAGAUUCACCCAUUACUGAUCUGCAGACGGCAGUGGUGAUUUCUCUGUGUUGCCACCCUUCAGAAGCUAAUGAGGUAAAUCGUAUAACUGGACAGAGUCUGUUAGAAAACAAACUGUACUCAAAAUCUGUUAGCAAACUUAAUUUCGAUAGGUUUCUAAGAUUUUAAAAUCUUUUUUCUCAAAGCAUAAAUGCAACCAAAGGUUUUCUUUUAAAUAACAUUUCUGUUCUCUCAAGCAAAUACCCUUUUUGAGUCUCAGAAUGCUGGCACAGCCAUCUUAGCUUGACACUGAGGCAAUAAAUCAAAAGGGUUGGACA
rnacentral:lncRNA from 1 species